rnacentral:lncRNA from 1 species
GUCAUUGAAACCUUGUUAAGAUGUGCUAUUUCCCGAGAUGAAAGUGCAAUCGAAAGAGAACUAACGCACGAGCUAUCAAACUUCCUGAUGAAAUCCGCCUCACUGAUUUCACGUGUCAGCUGUGAACUAUGUUCAGCUAGCACUUCGUUUUUUUUCAAUGUAGGGCUUAUUUGCUCC